rnacentral:siRNA from 1 species
UUUGUUUUCAGAGUAGUUCAGU